rnacentral:rRNA from 1 species
AGUCACUGACAUUAGAUACCCCUGUAGUCCAGGGUGUAAACGCUGCAGACUUGGUGUUGGGGGCCCUUUGGGGGCAUUCAGUGCCGGAGAGAAGUUGUUAAGUCUGCUACUUGGGGAGUACGUCCGCAAGGAUGAAACUUAAAGGAAUUGGCGGGGGAGCACCGCAACGGGAGGAGCGUGCGGUUUAAUUGGAUUCAACAUCGUAAAACUCACCAGGGAAGACUGUUACAUGAAGGCCGAGAUGAAGACUCUGCUAGAUUUUCAG